GAUUAACGCUGGCGGCGGGCAUAAUACAUGCAAGUUGAACGGCAGCACAGGUAGCACUACUGGCUGACGAGUGGCGCACGGGUGCGUAACACGUAUGCAACCUACCCUAUACAGGCGAAUAACAUUUCGAAAAGACGGCUCAUACACCGUAGUAUUACAUGAAGCCCUCUAUUUGUAAUUAAAGGUUUGUCGUUAUGUGAUGGGCAUGCGUCACCUUGGUUCGUUGGUAAGUUAGCGGCUUACCAAGACGACGAUGGGUAGGGGAUAUGAGAGGACGUACCACCACACCGGUAAUGAGAUCCGGACCAGAAUCGUACGGGAGGCAGCAGUAAGGAACACUGUGCGAUGGCGGCGAGGCUGACCCAGCCAUGCCGCGUGCAGGAAGCCGGCCUUAGGGGUUGUAAACUGCUUGUAAACGGCAAUAAUAGAGUGUACGCGUACAUUUAUGCAAGUACCGUAUGAAUAAGCAUCGGCUAACUCCGUG
rnacentral:rRNA from 1 species